GGGAGGCGGCGGCGCGGCCGGUCCCGGUGCGGAGUCCGGCUCGGCUCUGCGGCCCGUCCCGCCGCCCUGCCAUGGUGCCUGAGCGCGGCGCCGGCGGAGGAGGGGCAGCGGUGCGGCUGCUGAGCGGCUCGACCCCGGUCCCGGCAACGGCCGCCGCGGCGCGGAGGCGCGGGCAGCACAGACCUUAACUGAUUUGGGAUUAGGAUUCCCAUGGCGUGUGAACUAGAAGAUCAUUUGAAAUAGAAGGUCUCUUCAUUUUGAAGUGAGAGUCUUUACCAAAAUGGUUGGAAAACUCAAACAGAACUUGCUCUUGGCAUGUCUGGUAAUCAGUUCGGUGACGGUGUUUUAUUUGGGCCAGCACGCUAUGGAGUGUCACCACCGCAUCGAAGAGCGCAGCCAGCCUGUGAGGAUGGAAAGUGUGAGAAGCACAGUAAGAACUGCUUCCAGUGGAAAUGCAAACAAGACCUUUGCUUACAACAAAGACAUGCCUUUAAUAUUUAUUGGAGGAGUACCUCGAAGCGGCACUACCUUAAUGCGUGCCAUGCUUGACGCCCAUCCGGAUAUUCGAUGUGGAGAAGAGACAAGGGUAAUCCCACGGAUCCUAGCGGUUAAGCAGAUGUGGGCUAGGUCAAGCAAAGAGAAGAUCCGACUGGAUGAAGCUGGAGUCACAGAUGAGGUUCUGGACUCAGCCAUGCAAGCGUUUUUAUUGGAAAUCAUUGUGAAACAUGGGGAGCCUGCUCCAUAUUUGUGUAACAAAGAUCCUUUUGCUUUGAAAUCCUUAACUUAUCUUGCUAGAAUUUUCCCCAAUGCCAAAUUCCUUCUAAUGGUGCGGGAUGGCCGUGCAUCUGUGCACUCCAUGAUAUCUAGAAAAGUCACAAUAGCUGGAUUUGACCUUAACAGCUACAGAGACUGCUUGACCAAGUGGAAUCGUGCUAUAGAAACUAUGUAUAACCAGUGUAUGGAGGUUGGUUUUGAAAGGUGUAUGCUGGUACAUUAUGAACAACUCGUCCUGCAUCCUGAGAGAUGGAUGAGAACUCUCUUAAAGUUUCUUCGCAUUCCGUGGAACCAAGCAGUGCUGCACCAUGAGGAAAUGAUUGGAAAAGCAGGAGGUGUUUCUCUUUCAAAGGUUGAAAGAUCUACUGAUCAAGUAAUCAAGCCAGUCAAUGUGGAAGCACUGUCCAAGUGGGUUGGGAAGAUACCUGCUGAUGUUCUGCAAGAUAUGCCUGUGAUUGCACCUAUGCUAGCUAAACUGGGCUACGAUCCAUAUGCCAAUCCACCAAACUACGGAAAGCCAGACCAAAAAGUUGUGGAAAACACAAGGAGGGUCUAUAAAGGUGAAUUUCAGCUUCCUGACUUUCUUAAAGAAGUGCCACAGCCAAAGAAGACAGUAGAAAGGAGGUCUCGUGGCAAGAUAAAAUGAACAUGGAUCAAUUAUCUACAAGCCUCCAGAUGAAGUUGCAGAGUAUAUGGCUGAGGGCACAGGACUGAACCUAUGGAAUAGAAGAUACCAUGGAUGUGUCAUGCACAGAAG